GCGAGCGGCGGAUGGGUGAGUAACACGUGGGGAACCUGCCCCAUAGUCUGGGAUACCACUUGGAAACAGGUGCUAAUACCGGAUAAGAAAGCAGAUCGCAUGAUCAGCUUUUAAAAGGCGGCGUAAGCUGUCGCUAUGGGAUGGCCCCGCGGUGCAUUAGCUAGUUGGUAAGGUAAAGGCUUACCAAGGCGAUGAUGCAUAGCCGAGUUGAGAGACUGAUCGGCCACAUUGGGACUGAGACACGGCCCAAACUCCUACGGGAGGCAGCAGUAGGGAAUCUUCCACAAUGGACGCAAGUCUGAUGGAGCAACGCCGCGUGAGUGAAGAAGGUUUUCGGAUCGUAAAGCUCUGUUGUUGGUGAAGAAGGAUAGAGGUAGUAACUGGCCUUUAUUUGACGGUAAUCAACCAGAAAGUCACGGCUAACUACGUGCCAGCAGCCGCGGUAAUACGUAGGUGGCAAGCGUUGUCCGGAUUUAUUGGGCGUAAAGCGAGCGCAGGCGGAAGAAUAAGUCUGAUGUGAAAGCCCUCGGCUUAACCGAGGAACUGCAUCGGAAACUGUUUUUCUUGAGUGCAGAAGAGGAGAGUGGAACUCCAUGUGUAGCGGUGGAAUGCGUAGAUAUAUGGGAAGAACACCAGUGGCGAAGGGCGGCUCUCUGGUCUGCAACUGACCCUGA
rnacentral:rRNA from 1 species